AUCCUGGCUGCGUUGGGCGCAACCGGCAGCGGCGGUGUCGUGGUCGGGAUGUGGUGAAAAACCAGAAAGUCUCACGCAAGAGACACUAUGUCAUACGGAUGGGGGAGCGCCAGCAACACGACUCGUUUCUUCUAGACAACACGACAUGUUAGCCUAGCUAGCGUGCUGACAAGUAAUUUUUUUUUGUUUUUAAUAGUUUAGAACUUUUACAU
rnacentral:lncRNA from 1 species